UACGUAGGUGGCAAGCGUUGUCCGGAUUUACUGGGCGUAAAGAGCGCGCAGGCGGUCGUCCAAGUCGCGUGUGAAAGCCCCCGGCUCAACUGGGGAGGGUCACGCGAUACUGGUCGACUCGAAGGCAGGAGAGGGUAGUGGAAUUCCCGGUGUAGUGGUGAAAUGCGUAGAGAUCGGAAAGAACACCAACGGCGAAAGCACUCUGCUGGGCCGACACUGACACUGAGAGACGAAAGCUAGGGGAGCGAAUGGG
rnacentral:rRNA from 1 species